AUCACCCUAAGGAGGAGAUAAAGAUCGUGAGCAUAGUGAAAAGGCACCAUGAAGAGGAGAGUAGUCAUAAGAGGUAGAGAGCUCCUUAGAACGGGACAGUGGUCCCCAUGGAGCUCCAGAACUCUGGAGUGGGAUUUCCGACUUCAUGAGGGGGAGAUCAUGGGAAUUCUAGAAUCAGAAUUUGAAAUUGGCAGAGACCUUAGCUAGAUAUAUCAAUAGUUUGAAAAUAAUCAUCUUUAAUAAAAAAGAGAAAUUAAUGGGCCAGACAGUGUGUAACCAAGGAAUCCAGGUCCUAAGGAGAAGAAAAAGAGGAGAAUAAAAGUGGAACAUGCUUAUGUGCUACAGCUGGAUCAGAACAAGCUGCCUAUGUGUAGCACUAAGUCUCAAGGCAAGAAAGGAGGGUAACAGAUUUGGAAUUAACCAGACUGCUUCCAACUUGGACUGGAGUUGGUUUGUCUCCUUUUCUCCUUCCCUCCCUGAUCACUCUUUCUUCUGUUGUCCACUGUUUCUAUGGUCUACUCUUAAAUGCUGAUAGCCAGAGUUUUGUCCUGCAUUUUCUCCCUAAUUCUCUUAUUCUCCUCUCCCAUUCUCCAUGAUUUCAGCCAUCACCUGUAAUGCUUAAUUGCCAGUUUUUGUUUCUCAGCACAUACUUUAUUUCUGAAUAAAAAUUUAAAGCAAAGUAUAACCACUUAAGUUUUUUUAUGUAUAUAUACACACAUAUGUAAAAGUUCAUAUAUAUAUAUACUAUUUAAAUUGUCAAGUAGUUUGAUAAGAUAUACAAAAUAAAUAAAUAAAAAACAGAAGUUCUCUG